rnacentral:rRNA from 1 species
CCUACGGGAGGCAGCAGUGAGGAAUAUUGGUCAAUGGGCGGAAGCCUGAACCAGCCAAGUCGCGUGAAGGAUUAAGGCCCUGCGGGUCGUAAACCUCUUUUGCCGGGGAGCAGAGGUCCGGACGUGUCCGGGCCGGGAGAGUACCCGGAGAAAAAGCAUCGGCUAACUCCGGUCCAGCAGCCGCGGUAAUACGGAGGGUGCGGGCGUUGUCCGGAUUUAUUGGGGUUAAAGGGGCCGUUGGCGGGCAUUUAAGCCGGCGGUCAAAUGUCGGGGACCAACCCCGGCCUGCCGUUGGAACUGGGUGCCUUGAGUGGGCGAGAAGUAUGCGGAAUGCGUGGUGUAGCGGUGAAAUGCAUAGAUAUCACGCAGAACCCCGAUUGCGAAGGCAGCAGACCGGCGCCCUACUGACGCUGAGGCACGAAAGUGCGGGUAUCGAACAGGAUUAGAUACCCGUGUAGUC